rnacentral:rRNA from 1 species
GGGUUGUGAGGUUAAGCGACUAAGCGUACACGGUGGAUGCCCUGGCAGUCAGAGGCGAUGAAGGACGUGCUAAUCUGCGAUAAGCGUCGGUGAGGUGAUAUGAACCGUUAUAACCGGCGAUUUCCGAAUGGGGAAACCCAGUGUGUUUCGACACACUAUCAUUAACUGAAUCCAUAGGUUAAUGAGGCGAACCGGGGGAACUGAAACAUCUAAGUACCCCGAGGAAAAGAAAUCAACCGAGAUUCCCCCAGUAGCGGCGAGCGAACGGGGAGGAGCCCAGAGCCUGAAUCAGUGUGUGUGUUAGUGGAAGCGUCUGGAAAGGCGCGCGAUACAGGGUGACAGCCCCGUACACAAAAAUGCACAUAUUGUGAGCUCGAUGAGUAGGGCGGGACACGUGGUAUCCUGUCUGAAUAUGGGGGGACCAUCCUCCAAGGCUAAAUACUCCUGACUGACCGAUAGUGAACCAGUACCGUGAGGGAAAGGCGAAAAGAACCCCGGCGAGGGGAGUGAAAAAGAACCUGAAACCGUGUACGUACAAGCAGUGGGAGCCUCUUAAUGGGGUGACUGCGUACCUUUUGUAUAAUGGGUCAGCGACUUAUAUUCUGUAGCAAGGUUAACCGAAUAGGGGAGCCGAAGGGAAACCGAGUCUUAACUGGGCGUUAAGUUGCAGGGUAUAGACCCGAAACCCGGUGAUCUAGCCAUGGGCAGGUUGAAGGUUGGGUAACACUAACUGGAGGACCGAACCGACUAAUGUUGAAAAAUUAGCGGAUGACUUGUGGCUGGGGGUGAAAGGCCAAUCAAACCGGGAGAUAGCUGGUUCUCCCCGAAAGCUAUUUAGGUAGCGCCUCGUGAAUUCAUCUCCGGGGGUAGAGCACUGUUUCGGCAAGGGGGUCAUCCCGACUUACCAACCCGAUGCAAACUGCGAAUACCGGAGAAUGUUAUCACGGGAGACACACGGCGGGUGCUAACGUCCGUCGUGAAGAGGGAAACAACCCAGACCGCCAGCUAAGGUCCCAAAGUCAUGGUUAAGUGGGAAACGAUGUGGGAAGGCCCAGACAGCCAGGAUGUUGGCUUAGAAGCAGCCAUCAUUUAAAGAAAGCGUAAUAGCUCACUGGUCGAGUCGGCCUGCGCGGAAGAUGUAACGGGGCUAAACCAUGCAC